UACGGAGGAGGCAAGCGUUAUCCGGAAUUAUUGGGCGUAAAGCGUCCGUAGGUGGUUCACCAAGUCUGCUGUCAAAGGGUGGGGCUUAACCUCAUAAAGGCAGUGGAAACUGGUGAGCUAGAGUGCGGUAGGGGUAAGGGGAAUUCCCAGUGUAGCGGUGAAAUGCGUAGAGAUUGGGAAGAACAUCGGUGGCGAAAGCGCCUUACUGGGCCUGCACUGACACUGAGGGACGAAAGCUAGGGGAGCGAAAGGG
rnacentral:rRNA from 1 species